GAUGAACGCUGGCGGCGUGCUUAACACAUGCAAGUCGAACGAUGAAGCCCAGCUUGCUGGGUGGAUUAGUGGCGAACGGGUGAGUAACACGUGAGUAACCUGCCCUUAACUCUGGGAUAAGCCUGGGAAACUGGGUCUAAUACCGGAUAGGAGCGUCCACCGCAUGGUGGGUGUUGGAAAGAUUUAUCGGUUUUGGAUGGACUCGCGGCCUAUCAGCUUGUUGGUGAGGUAAUGGCUCACCAAGGCGACGACGGGUAGCCGGCCUGAGAGGGUGACCGGCCACACUGGGACUGAGACACGGCCCAGACUCCUACGGGAGGCAGCAGUGGGGAAUAUUGCACAAUGGGCGCAAGCCUGAUGCAGCGACGCCGCGUGAGGGAUGACGGCCUUCGGGUUGUAAACCUCUCUCAGUAGGGAAGAAGCGAAAGUGACGGUACCUGCAGAAGAAGCACCGGCUAACUACGUG
rnacentral:rRNA from 1 species